UACGGAGGGGGUUAGCGUUGUUCGGAAUUACUGGGCGUAAAGCGCGCGUAGGCGGAUUAGAAAGUUGGGGGUGAAAUCCCGGGGCUCAACCCCGGAACUGCCUCCAAAACUACUAGUCUAGAGUUCGAGAGAGGUGAGUGGAAUUCCGAGUGUAGAGGUGAAAUUCGUAGAUAUUCGGAGGAACACCAGUGGCGAAGGCGGCUCACUGGCUCGACACUGACGCUGAGGUGCGAAAGCGUGGGGAGCAAACGGG
rnacentral:rRNA from 1 species